rnacentral:rRNA from 1 species
GCUUGCACCGAGAUUCAACAUGGAACGAGUGGCGGACGGGUGAGUAACACGUGGGUAACCUGCCCUUAAGUGGGGGAUAACAUUUGGAAACAGAUGCUAAUACCGCAUAGAUCCAAGAACCGCAUGGUUCUUGGCUGAAAGAUGGCGUAAGCUAUCGCUUUUGGAUGGACCCGCGGCGUAUUAGCUAGUUGGUGAGGUAAUGGCUCACCAAGGCGAUGAUACGUAGCCGAACUGAGAGGUUGAUCGGCCACAUUGGGACUGAGACACGGCCCAAACUCCUACGGGAGGCAGCAGUAGGGAAUCUUCCACAAUGGACGCAAGUCUGAUGGAGCAACGCCGCGUGAGUGAAGAAGGCUUUCGGGUCGUAAAACUCUGUUGUUGGAGAAGAAUGGUCGGCAGAGUAACUGUUGUCGGCGUGACGGUAUCCAACCAGAAAGCCACGGCUAACUACGUGCCAGCAGCCGCGGUAAUACGUAGGUGGCAAGCGUUAUCCGGAUUUAUUGGGCGUAAAGCGAGCGCAGGCGGUUUUUUAAGUCUGAUGUGAAAGCCCUCGGCUUAACCGAGGAAGCGCAUCGGAAACUGGGAAACUUGAGUGCAGAAGAGGACAGUGGAACUCCAUGUGUAGCGGUGAAAUGCGUAGAUAUAUGGAAGAACACCAGUGGCGAAGGCGGCUGUCUGGUCUGUAACUGACGCUGAGGCUCGAAAGCAUGGGUAGCGAACAGGAUUAGAUACCCUGGUAGUCCAUGCCGUAAACGAUGAAUGCUAGGUGUUGGAGGGUUUCCGCCCUUCAGUGCCGCAGCUAACGCAUUAAGCAUUCCGCCUGGGGAGUACGACCGCAAGGUUGAAACUCAAAGGAAUUGACGGGGGCCCGCACAAGCGGUGGAG